AUGAAUCUCCUAAGUUGGAACUGCCGGGUGGCGGGGAACUCCCGGACAGUUCGUGAUCUGGCAACUCUUGUUCAGUCGCUUUCCCCUACUUUGGUCUUCUUGUGCGAGACCCGCCAACCCAAGUCCCGGAUGAAGCGGUAUCGAGCAAGGUUAGGCCUCAAAGGAUUUCAUGGUGUUGAUAGUGAAGGAAAUAGUGGUGGUUUGUCACUCUUCUGGCAUGAAUCUCUCUCAAUGGAAGUAGUCUUUUCAAACCAACGAUGUAUUGACGCUCAAGUUAAAUUGGGGCCGGAUGAACCAGCGUUGCGUCUUACAUGCGUGUAUGGGGAACCUUGA
rnacentral:rRNA from 1 species